AUUGAACGCUGGCGGCAGGCUUAACACAUGCAAGUCGAACGAGUGGCGGACGGGUGAGUAAUGUCUGGGAAACUGCCUGAUGGAGGGGGAUAACUACUGGAAACGGUAGCUAAUACCGCAUACCAUCAGAUGUGCCCAGAUGGGAUUAGCUAGUAGGUGGGGUAACGGCUCACCUAGGCGACGAUCCCUAGCUGGUCUGAGAGGAUGACCAGCCACACUGGAACUGAGACACGGUCCAGACUCCUACGGGAGGCAGCAGUGGGGAAUAUUGCACAAUGGGCGCAAGCCUGAUGCAGCCAUGCCGCGUGUAUGAAGAAGGCCUUCGGGUUGUAAAGUACUUUCGGUGGGGAGGCGUUACCCGCAGAAGAAGCACCGGCUAACUCCGUGCCAGCAGCCGCGGUAAUUC
rnacentral:rRNA from 1 species